rnacentral:rRNA from 1 species
UACGUAGGGGGCAAGCGUUGUCCGGAUUUAUUGGGCGUAAAGAGCGUGUAGGCGGCCAGACAGGUCCGUUGUGAAAACUCGAGGCUCAACCUCGAGACGCCGAUGGAAACCGUUUGGCUAGAGUCCGGAAGAGGAGAGUGGAAUUCCGCGUGUAGCAGUGAAAUGCGUAGAGAUGCGGAGGAACACCGAUGGCGAAGGCAGCCCCCUGGGUCGACACUGACGCUCAGGCACGAAAGCGUGGGGAGCAAACAGG